rnacentral:rRNA from 1 species
CACAUGCAAGUCGAACGGUGAAGCAAGCUUGCUUGGUGGAUCAGUGGCGAACGGGUGAGUAACACGUGAGCAACCUGCCCUGGACUCUGGGAUAAGCGCUGGAAACGGCGUCUAAUACUGGAUAUGAGCCUCUAUCGCAUGGUGGGGGUUGGAAAGAUUUUYCGGUCUGGGAUGGGCUCGCGGCCUAUCAGCUUGUUGGUGAGGUAAUGGCUCACCAAGGCGUCGACGGGUAGCCGGCCUGAGAGGGUGACCGGCCACACUGGGACUGAGACACGGCCCAGACUCCUACGGGAGGCAGCAGUGGGGAAUAUUGCACAAUGGGCGGAAGCCUGAUGCAGCAACGCCGCGUGAGGGAUGACGSCCUUCGGGUUGUAAACCUCUUUUAGCAGGGAAGAAGCGAGAGUSACGGUACCUGCAGAAAAAGCGCCGGCUAACUACGUGCCAGCAGCCGCGGUAAUACGUAGGGCGCAAGCSUUAUCCSGAAUUAUUGGGCGUAAAGAGCUCGUAGGCGGUUUGUCGCGUCUGCUGUGAAAUCCCGAGGCUCAACCUCGGGCCYCCAGUGGGUACG